UUGUUAAAAUCUCUGUAUUAGUCUGUAAGACAAUUUGUUUUCGUUGACUAAUUCUUUACUUGAAAUAAAGAAAUAUUAAAGCUGUUUUGGAAAGACUUUUUGUGCUGAUUACGAAUCCGUAAGUAUAAAGUUUCCUUCAGGUCCAGAUUUUGAGAAAACUAGGUCAAACUGUC